AGGUCCCAUUGGCUGAGGGGAGUGGUGGGGUGGAGGGGAUCGAUGUAAAAAAAACAACAACCUGGACAACCCCUUUGAGGUAGGGAUUUGGCACUUUAACAUUAAUGGUUUCCUUAGAUUGACAUUAUAGACCUCCGUUGGUUUUCUCCCAGUGAUAUGUGCCUCAUACCCUGUGGUUUGUGGUGUCUUCUCUGAAUCUACAACCUGUUGAUGAACAUUGUACAGAAGCUUCAAGAUGUCACCAGCCCUGCAGCUCCUGACCCUCUACUGGAGUCUACACUUCAGCCUCGCUGGAGAUGUUCUUCAGCAUCCAUCAUUUCUACCCGUACUUUCCAUGCACAACAUCUCCAUGUCUUGUGAACACGAUGAAUCCAGCAAGACCAGAAAAAGUUGGUACAGACAAGAAAAGGGCAAAGGGCUCGUCCUUAUUGGAUACACAGACUAUGGAGAAAAAGCAUUGAUGGAGUCUGGGUUCAGUGAUGAAAGGAUACAGAUCCAACCCAAUGGCAGCCAGAGAUGUAACCUGACCAUCUCUAAGGCUUCUGCUGAAGAUAAUGCAGUUUAUUACUGUGCAAGCAGUGAACACAGCCAAAUAACCAUAUGAAGAAAGUGUAAAAAACCGAGACGCCCCCUCCAAAGACUCAAAGACAGUUAUGAGUGAGUAGGGAUGGGGAACAGCUGUGUGAGGAGCUCUUACUGCUCCUUUUACAGGUGUCAUCCAGUUAUACGAGUCAACUAUUAAUAAGCAGUCAACAAAGUAUCAAAAAGUAACAUAAAACAUACAAAUGUAUAUACCAUUCACAGACAGAUGGAAGACAAAGAAAUGAACCGGACAGUUAACCAUACUUUCUGUGAUACCUUGUGGUACAUGGUGGAAAGGUAAAAUAUUACAAAAUUAAAUUGACCAUUUUUUUAAAGACUUUUUGAACCAACAGGAAAAGUAAGUUGGUCCAUACAGUCCAUACAUUAAAAUGUUUACAGCACAAACCAAACACAAGGUUACUGCCAUUUAAUAUACCUAAUAACAUGAAUCAUCCUUAAUUAUUUAAAAUUAUGCUUCAGACAUAAUGAAGUUUGGUUUAUUCAACUUUUUAUAUUUUCAUAGAUUUUUCAAAAACAUGAAAAGCUGACAUAUCAGGGACAAUAGCGGGCAAGUAAUAGGCGCUUUCAAUGGACAUCCAUAGGUUGUAUGAUAGAAUGUAUUAUAAUUCUAAUAAGAGAUGAGCGAAUCGAAGCUGACCAAGUGGAAUUCGAUCUGAAUUUCAGGAAAAAUUAGAUUCGCACCGAAGCAGAAUUUCCUCACG